UGUUAUACUUGCCAUUAGGCCAUACAAGCAUGAUACAAUACACUAUCAUUUCAUCUUUAACAUUCGGCUAAACCCUUAUCUUACAAGGAACACAGAAUUCACAUAACAUAUCAUUUCACCGGCAUUACACCUGCUAGGCAUGAAGGCCCGAAUACACAUCACCGGCACGAAGCCUGCUAGGCACGAAGGCUCGAAUACACAUCACCGGCAAGAAGCCUGCUAGGCACGAAGGCCCGAAUAUACAUCACCGGCACGAAGCCUGCUAGGCACGAAGGCCCGAAUACACAUCACCGAC
rnacentral:lncRNA from 1 species